rnacentral:rRNA from 1 species
GAUGAACGCUGGCGGCGUGCCUAAUACAUGCAAGUCGAGCGAACAGACGAGGAGCUUGCUCCUCUGACGUUAGCGGCGGACGGGUGAGUAACACGUGGAUAACCUACCUAUAAGACUGGGAUAACUUCGGGAAACCGGAGCUAAUACCGGAUAAUAUAUUGAACCGCAUGGUUCAAUAGUGAAAGACGGUUUUGCUGUCACUUAUAGAUGGAUCCGCGCCGCAUUAGCUAGUUGGUAAGGUAACGGCUUACCAAGGCAACGAUGCGUAGCCGACCUGAGAGGGGAAUGGGCAACACGAGAGGGGAGACGGGGACGAGCAUCCGAAGGAAGGAGCCGGAAGGGAAUCUCCAGAAGUGGGAGAAGACGGGAGAGAGAAACGCGGAGGGGGUAAUGAAGGUGUUGGGUUCGAAAAACUUUGUAAUAAGGGAAAAAAAAAGGUAAAGGAAAUUAGGCGCUUCUUGAGGGUACCAAAUAAAAAAGCCACGGCUAACUGGGUC